GGUUUCCGAACAAAUAAAAUCCUUAACAUAAGAAGCAAGCAAGAUACCCACAUUGUGAAAAAAGGGAACUGGAUGUAAAACGAAGAAAGCAGGGGUUCACUUUAAGGAGCACAUGUAAAAGUAGAAUUGAGAUUUAGUGCACUCAAAUGAAUAUACAUGUGACAUACAAUUGCUCAAUCCCUUGGACCACAAACGAACUGAAUACAGUAUCAAAAGUGUCAUACUAAACUAAAGAAACAAGUUCAUAAUAUAAACAACAACUAAACUCGAACAAGUCACAGCAACAUUUUAAUCAUAUAUGACUUAAGAAAUCUAAUAAAAACACGAUACAAAACAAUCUUGAACGAUAAAUUUGAGACCUCAGAUUUUAUAAACUUAUAAAUAAACCCCUAUUUCACAGAGACUAAAAUGAUAGAAACUAAACCAAGUAUUAACAUUUUAAACCAUUUUAUGGAGCAAGAGAUAGAUUCUUAAGGAAACAAUAAAGGAGUAACUAUUCAAUCGAGUUAGCAAGGGUAAGGCAUUUUUUAGGUUGUUUUCAAUUAGAAGGGUAUUACCGUUGAGGAAAGCAAUGCUGGAAGCUUGAGGCGUCUUCGAGCUCGUGCUAUGCACGCGGAGAGUACGAAUUGAAGGAGAAAAGAGGAAAAUUGAGGCGGUGAAUCUGAGGAUUUAAAGUUGGGUUCGUUUGGUUGCUUUCGCUAAGGAAGAAGAAGAAGAAAG
rnacentral:lncRNA from 1 species